UACGUAGGCAGCGAGCGUUGUUCGGAGUUACUGGGCGUAAAGAGUGCGUAGGCGGUUUUCUAAGUUUGGUGUGAAAUCUCCCGGCUCAACUGGGAGGGUGCGCCGAAGACUGGAAGGCUUGAGUAUGGGAGAGGUAAGCGGAAUUCCUGGUGUAGCGGUGAAAUGCGUAGAUAUCAGGAGGAACACCAAUAGCGAAGGCAGCUCGCUGGGACGGUACUGACGCUAAGGCGCGAAAAGCGUGGGGAGCGAAACAGG
rnacentral:rRNA from 1 species